AAGAAAAUUUUCAUAUCCCUAAAAUUUCUCUUUCUUCUGCUUCAUCUUUGUCUUCUUCUUCGACAACGACAAAUGGGUGGCUUGGACAUGCGCAAAGAAGGCAUGGAGUUGGGGAGAUCUCGAUGGCUUGGACGAUUGGGUAAGCUUAACGAAGGGGCGACGACAAAUCUAGUGUGAGGUGGCUCCGUGGACUAAGUGUGUGAAGGAUUUGUUGAACGAUGGGCCUGUGGUUGUGAUGCUGAAUAUGUGAUCGAUGUUGUUGAAUCUGGGUCUGCGGCUGUGAUGUUGAAUCUGGGAUUGAUGUUGUUGAAUUUGGGUAUGUGGCUGUGUUGUUAAAUUUGGAAUUAAUGUUCUUGAACCUGGGUUUUUAGCUGAAAUGUUAAAUUUCAAUUUGAAUUGAAGAACAAAUUGAUGAUA